AGUGUAGUCAAAAUUCAGUUUAACACAGACUUUGCAACUUCAAGGUACUAGCUACUAAAAUAAUUUACACUUUGCAAUAUAUGUGCCGUCCCGUUCUGGCAUGGUCCUUGCCAACAAAAACUCCCCACCGCGAUAAUACGGCGUUCCUGGGUCUGCAGUUCAACAAGUGCAAGAAUAUCGCAACUAUUUCAAAUUCGGUUGUUUUGGUCACACUUGUUUGUUUGUUUCCACAAUUGUCAAGUUUAUUUUUAAGCAAAUUCCGGUAUUCAUCGUUAUGGAUAUACAACAACUGGAGGUGCUUUGCAAGCAACUCUAUGAAGCCACAGACAUAAGAAUACGUGCCGAGGCGGAAAAAGCCCUAGUCACAUUUGUAAGCAGCCAGGAUGCGCUGCCCAAAUGCCAGUUGCUGCUGGACAGAGCCGAUUCCAGCUACGCCCAGUUACUGGCCGCCUCCACACUCACCAAACUCAUUCAGGGAUUAAGUCUGGAGCAAAGGAUUGACAUUCGCAGCUAUGCUCUUAACUAUCUGGCCACCGUACCCAAUCUGCAGCACUUUGUUGUCCAGGCCUUGGUUACUCUGCUGGCGAAGAUAACCAAGUUCGGAUGGUUCGAUUCGUUCAAGGAGGAAAUGGUGUUCCAAAACCUAUUGGAAGAUGUCAAAAAGUUCUUGCAGGGCUCCGUGGAGCACUGCACCAUUGGCGUCCAAAUUCUGUCACAACUGGUUUGUGAGAUGAACUCAGUUGUCGAGAUGGACGUGCACCUGUCCUUCUCCAAAAAUCGCAAAAUAGCCACAUCGUAUCGGGACCAGCAACUCUUUGAAACCUUUCUGCUAUCCUGCUCUCUGCUGAUCACAGCCCGUGAUAAUAGCAAAAACAUUAACUUCAUGGACGAGUCGCAGCAAGCGUUAAUAUCACACGUCUUACGUCUAACGAAAAAUUGCCUGAGCUUCGACUUCAUUGGCAGUUCCACAGAUGAGUCUGCGGAUGAUAUGAACAACGUUCAGAUACCCACAGCUUGGCGUCCUGCAUUCUUAGAUUCGAACACACUUAAACUCUUUUUUGAUUUAUACCAAAUUUUGCCCAAUGGUUUAGCUAGCUACUCCAUAUCCUGCCUGGUUCAAAUGACAUCUGUGCGUCGCUCUCUUUUUAGUAAUUCUGAGAGAACAAAAUUUCUAACGCACUUGGUAGAAGGAGUCAGAGAUAUUUUAAAUACCCUCCACGGCUUGAGUGACCCAGAUAACUAUCACGAGUUCUGCCGUUUGCUAGCUCGUCUUAAGUCUAAUUAUCAAUUGGGUGAACUUAUAGCGGUCCCAUGUUAUGCAGAAGCAAUCCAACUAAUAGCUAAGUUUACUGUCCAAUCCCUACAUGUAUGGCUUUUUGCACCGAACAGUGUACAUUACUUACUCACACUUUGGCAACGCAUGGUUGCGUCUGUACCAUAUGUAAAGUCCCCGGAUCCGCAUUUGCUAGGUACCUACACCCCGGAGGUUAUCAAAGCCUAUAUUGACUCGCGCCUGGAUGCUGUUCCUGUUAUUGUCCGUGACAACUUGGAUGAUCCCCUAGACGAUCUGUGUAUGGUGCAGCAACAGCUGGAGCAACUGUCGGUAAUCGAAAGGUGCGAGUAUAACAAGACGGUUAGUCUGCUUGUCCAGCAUUUCGAUCAAAAAGCCCGAGAGUAUGAGAACUUGCUGCAGACGCCUAACGCUAAUACCAUAGAUAUCACUAUACACGAGCUACAAUUAACGUGGCUGGUGUAUAUAAUUGGGUCGGCAAUAGUGGGUCGCCUCUCGGUUACGACAAGCGAUGAGCAUGACACAAUGGACGCGGAGCUCGUGAUAAGGGUCCUGCAACUGAUGAGCCUCACCGAUGCUCGAUUGCCCCAAGCGGGUUGCGAAAAGCUGGAGCUGGCGAUACUGAGCUUUUUGGACCAGGUCCGAAAAAUGCAUAGCAGCGAGCAGGCGCAAAAAGCCAAUUUGAACAAGAGACUUAGCGAGGUCUUUGGACUGAGUGACGAGCAAAUGCUUUUAAGUUUUAUUAAUCGCAAAAUAAUUACAAAUUUAAAGUUUUGGGGACGCUCUGAGCCGAUUAUCACCAAAACCCUGAUGUUAUUAUCCGAUCUCUCUGUGCAUUUUAAUUCUGUGCGCAAACUGGCACGUCUAGAAGAAGUCCAGUUUAUGCUUACACAUCACACAAGCGAACAUUUCCCAUUCCUAGGAACGAAUUCCACUUUGAGCGAGAUGAGAUGUCGCACAAUGUUCUAUACUUCAUUAGGCCGAUUACUGAUGUUCGAUUUGGGCGAGGAUGAAGAAAGAUUCUACAAUUUUUUGGAACCUUUAACAAAUCAAUUCGAGUCCCUUGGCUCUGUGCUGAUGGACAAUAACAUCUUCUCUAAUGAAGAGGCUAAAAAGGCCAUUAUUGGCUUGGCUCGAGACCUCCGUGGAUUAGCGCUGCCGCUCAACGCGCGCAUUCAAUACACCAUGCUUUUCGAAUGGUUGUAUUAUGCAGACUAUUUGCCCAUACUAUUGCGUGCGAUGGAGCUGUGGGCUCACGAUCCUGCCGUUACGACACCAAUUCUAAAAUUGUUUGCCGAACUAGUGCAUUGCCGCACCCAAAGGCUGGCAGGCAAUGUAUCCAGCCCAAUGGGCAUUCUCCUAUUCCGCGAGGCCUCGAAACUAAUUUGUAUAUACGGCAAUCGCAUUCUGCACCAAGAAGUUCCACGUGAUCGACUUUACCCGAUGAGACUGAAGGGAAUUGCCAUAUGCUUCUUGAUCUUAAAGAACUCACUUGGCGGCAACUAUGUCAAUUGUGGGGUAUUUAAAUUGUACGGAGAUGAUACAUUGGACAGUGUACUCAAUAUUAUCGCCAAGUUGAUUCUUACCAUAGAACAGAGCGAUUUACUUGAAUACCCAAAAUUAUCAACGGCCUACUACAACUUACUAAAUUGUCUGUCGCAAGAUCAUGUUUCUUACUUGGCUGCCUUGGAGCCUGCUGCAUUCGUUUACAUUUUAAAAAGUCUUACCAAAGGACUGGCCGCAUUAGACUCGGCCAUUUAUAUAAGUUGCUGCACAAUUUUGGAUAGUAUUGUGUCGUACAUUUUUAAACAGCUUCAGAUGAAAGUUUCUACAUUUCCAAACAAAAAGCUCCGUAGCUUAAAUCAAGAAAAUGCGCAAUUCUUAAAGGUUGUUGAAAUGAAUUCUGAGUUACUCCAGAGUAUGAUGUCCUCAUUACUGAACAACGUGUUGGCAGAGGAUUGUCGAAACCAGUGGUCCAUGUCACGUCCAUUGCUGGUUCUCAUAUUACUUUAUGAGGACUAUUACCGAUCCUUAAAGGAUAGAAUUAUCUGUGGUCAACCAAUUGAAAAGCAACAGACAAUGGCGCAAUGGUUCGAUGAUCUGAUGGUCGGCAUUGAGCGAAAUGUUUCCAGUAAAAACAAAGAAAAAUUCACACAGAAUUUGUCAACAUUUCGGCGCGAUGUAGUUAACCUGCCAAAGUCCACAACAGUUACAUAGGCGGUGCUGAUUACAUCGCGACAAACGCAUCUUCAGCAGCGGAUCAAAAUGCGAAUUCCGGGAACCAUUCCAUGGUUCGGAAACGAAAACGUGGGAAAUAAAAAGUAUUCGAAAAUAUCGCCGGCGACAACAAAAAUUUGGGGUGAAAUGUGUUCCAUAUGGCAAAUUAUGCAAGUUUUGUUUCUGCAGUAUUUCAUUCACUCAAUUCUGUAAAUUAUUGUAAUAUACGAAUGCGCAAAAUA
rnacentral:misc_RNA from 1 species